rnacentral:rRNA from 1 species
CUAGUUCGGAUUGUAGGCUGAAACUCGCCUACAUGAAGCUGGAAUUGCUAGUAAUCACAGGUCAGCAUACUGUGGUGAAUACGUUCCCGGGCCUUGUACACACCGCCCGUCACACCAUGAGAGUUGGAGAUACCCGAAGCCUAUGAGCUAACUUUUAGAGGCAGUAGUCGAAGGUAGAAUCAAUGAUUGGGGUGAAGUCGUAACAAGGUAAC